AUAGAGGAAGAGAUGGAGGAGAGAUGGAGGAGAGAUGGAGGAGAGAUGAGGGAGAGAUGGAGGAGAGAUGAGGGAGAGAUGGAGGAGAGAUGAGGGAGAGAUGGAGGAGACAUGAGGGAGAGAUGGAGGAGAGAUGAGUGAGAGAUGGAGGAGAGAUGUGUGGGAGAUGUGGGAAGAGAUGGAGGAGACAUGAGGGACAGAUGGAGGAGAGAUGAUGGAGAGAUGGAGGAGAGAUGAGGGAGAGAUGGAGGAGAGAUGGAGGAGAGAUGGGGGAGAUGGAGAGAUGAAGGUGAGAUGAGGGAGAGAUGGAGAGAUGGAGGUGAGAUGAGGGAGAGAAGAGGGCAAGAUGGAGAGGUGGAGAAGAGAUGGAGGAGAGAUGAGGGAGAGAUGGAGGAAGAGAUGGAUUAGAGAUGGAGGAGAGAUGAGGGAGAGAUGGACGAGAGAUGAGGGAGAGAUGGAGGAGAGAUG
ensembl:lncRNA